UACGUUUUCAAACCAAAUUAAGCUUCGUCCACCACCGCCCUUCAACAACGACAUCGCCAUCUGCCCCAAUUGUGAUUCUCCUUGACCGAGUCUCAGUAAAAAGAUGAAGCACAAGUGGUGCGCCUCUACUGCUAGAUUACCUGCAACCUCUUUUCAAGCCCCAAGAAUUAAUAUCUCAGAUUUCCCUCAUCUUGCUUCGUAGGUCUCAUCUCCACCACACCAAGAACUCACCUCCUUUCUCCGACCUCCUCAACACCCAUCCCCGAUUACCAAUUGGCAUUCACAAAUCGAUUGUCCUUGGAACAUGCUUCAGUGUCGUUCCCUGGAAUACAGUAGAGUCAAGUACAAUCAACUCUCCGGCCUGGGUCGCCGCAAAUUUGGAACCCGAAAAUUCACAGCAAAGGUCUUCUCAAUGAUGGGAUGAUCACAAAGGGUUUGGUUGUUUCUCUACUUCUGAUUAGGCAGUCAAUGACCAUUUGGGGUCCAAAAUGGUAGUUUUUACAUUUUGACAAAACAUAGGAGAUCCUUUUAAUGAUUUUGUUGAAGGUUACAGGAAAUAAAGAUCAUAAUGUUGAAGGUUGCAAUUAGUUGCCACCUGCAUGUUUUUCUCCUCAUCUUUCUCAUUAUGGUUUGAAAAGGGUUUGGUUUUCUGCUUGGUGUGUCAUUGUACAAAUACACUGCUGAAAGUUGCCUAAGUGCUUCCAAAUAAAUGUGGCACAGAGUUGGAGAAAAAUCUAACUGAGGCUGAGUUGUUGCAGAUGAGAAGAGAGAGAGUAUAUGAGGUUCACAGGAAAAUGGACCAAUCGGAACUUGAACACGACUUGGGUGGCUUGGAUGUAAGUAAUUGUUGGUCUCCAUCAAAAUGCUGCAAUUACAUUUAAAUGUGUUUUUCCACUCAUGUGCACUUAAUGUAAGAGCAUUUUGUACUUACCAUGUAAUACCCAGCUAGGUAACCGACCCAGUUUAAUAAAUGUUAUGGCUUUUGAUUCAGUUUCGUUUUAAGAGUGAAAGUCACAAUUUGAGUUUUCCAUAUAGUUUUGAUCAGUUCUAAUUUUGAAAGCUUCAUUUCCUUUGUUUUUGGUGAAUGUCUCAAGGUCAUUGUAUAGUUAGUUGUUUUAAUUCAUAUUGUUUCUUUCGAACAGGAAAAGCUUAUGAUCACAUAAUUUUGUAUCUGUUUUUUUAUAGUAAUUGGCAUGUUAUUCUAUAGAUAACACUUCACUCUUUUGGUACAAUUCGAAGGGGAAUUUCUAACACUAGUGAGUUAUUUUGAUGAUGGUUUUUGCACAUUACUCAUGGAAAUAAAUGGUGUGGACUUCUUCUGUUAAUACCAAGUUAGCAGAGCCGCUUGCCCAUAAAAAAAGUUGGUACCCCUUUUUUUAAUAGUAUUUUGAGCAUGUUUGGAAAUUCUUCUGUAAUUGAUUCUGGAGAAAAAAUUGAGGAAAAAGCUUAGUGAGCAGCUUCUCCUUGUGCCAGAAUUGAUUCUGGAGAAAAAUAAGUUGAUCCAAACAUGGUAUAAAAGUCUAUAUGGAGCCCAAGGAAGAAAAUUGAUGGACAUUGCUUCCAGUUUUUAAUGUAUUGUUUACGAAUGGUGAUGUUAAUGGAUUGUUGUGUUUGAGGAGCUCCAUUGAAAUUAAGGUUGAAGAUUUAAAAUUUUGUGAGUUAAGGUGCUUCCACAAAGUUUCAAGCUGUCAUGGAUUGGGGCGAAAUUGAGGAAGCUGUACUUGGGAGUGGGGUUUAAAGUCUAAGUGAAUGAUUUUUCCAUUUUUCCAAUAUUGAUAUUGUUUUGGGUACUUCAUGCACUGGGUGUUGAGUACAGGUCUUAUUAUUGUAAACAGAUUGCUAAACAUAGUGAAGGAUUAUUAUUUUCUACUUGGCUUUGGGUCAAAGUUUUAGCAAGGUGAGGUUUAUUUUACCCAUUGUUUGGCUUCUUACUGCAGUUGACAAUUUAUAGCUUUCAUUGAAGAAAAGAUGGUCUUUGGCCAAGUGAAUUCAUGUUUAAUGGGCUUUCUGCAGUUUUGUUUGUGUGAGUGCCUUUCUUUUUAGGAAAAUGUGUCUUUUGGCAAAAUAUAUUGGUGUUUUAUGUGGAUCAAGAUCUAUGCAUGUCCGAUAUUUGUUGGACUACAUUGCUUUAUUACCCGAUAUUUUGAUUGUUUGAUUGAUUGAAUGAAAGAAUUACAAUUGCUUUUUCAUGUCCCUUUGUGAAUGGAAGCAUCGCUCAAUUAAGCUUGAAAGUAUUACUUUUGCCAUUAUAUAAUGCUUUUUCUAAUAAGAAUGCUGAUUCUGAUUCCAAAGAUGAAGAAGAAAAUGAUAAUGAGCUAAAAAUGAAAGGCAUCUCAAACAAGAAAAAGUUGUGAUAAUAUGUAACAUGCUUAUUUUAUUUUUGCUGCUUAUCCAUUUUUUUACUGUCGUCUUCCUUUUGAGAACUGUACUGAAAGGUUUAAUUUGGUUUCAACUUUUUUCUAUUAGUUUGGCAUCAUGGCCAUUUUGGAAAUGCUUGGUAGUUUCAUUUUCAUUUUCCAGGUGUGGGAUGCUACUGCAUCAGACCCAAAGUUGCUGGGGUUUUUGAAAUCUUAUAGCAAUACCGUACCUGUGCCUAGGCAUUGGAGUCAGAAGAGAAAGUUUUUGCAGGGGAGCGGCUGUGGCAAUUACCAAGCCUGGACCUGUAGGUGUUUGGCAAUUGGCAUCCUUGAGUCAUUUGUCUUUUAUUAUCUGUUGUAUUGAACUGGCAUAUUAUGUGAUAUAAUGGGGAUAUAUAAUCAUGUGAUAUUUUUGCAUAAUAUUAUUGGGCAUUGAUUUAUGAUAAAGGUGCUAAUAGUUCUGCUUUGAGUUUUCAUUUGCCUUUCCAUAGUGCUUAAUGCUCGGGCUGAAUUCCUCUUAUGUUAAAUUUGUUUAAUGUUGAUGUUACUUAACGGACUUAUCCCAAAUGCCAUUUGAGCAGCACAUAGGAAAUGCUUUUGGUAAAACUAAUGAAGAUAUAUCUAAUAAUGGUUCUGAAAGAUUUAUGGUAAAACUGGAAGAUUAUGGUUCUUUGUGAUGUCAAACCGAAAGGAAUAGCAUGAUGCAUACUGGUGUGAUAAGGCUAAAUGCAUACCUUCCUCUUGCAUGGGCAUGUCACUGAUUGCAUUUCAAAUAAUGGAUGAAACAUAUGAGGAAAAGGUUGAAAGGGGAGUUUCUGGCCAAAAUUGGACAUGUUUCCAUUUGGAUUGCUAACUGAUCAGGGUAAUGAGAUUCGGAUGCUACAGUUUUAUAACUGGAGCAGUUAGGGGUAGCACAACGGGGAAGGUGCAGUAAGAAGUGAUUCUAAGUUUCGAAUAGGUUGUUCGAACAUAACCUUAAAGUGAUUAUUUCGUUACUCUUUUUACUCUUAUUUAUUAUGACCUUAAGUUUGUUUGAUUAAAGUAGAGAUUACAGAUGAAGGUUUCAAAGCCUGAAAUCAUCCAGUACUAUAAGAGGGAAGAGGUGAUAGAAGAAGCCACAACUAUUUGGUCUCUUGAAGCUGAACCGUUCGAUUAGGUUAAAAAAUCUUUUAAAAGAUAGGUACUAUAUUCUUCUCUUCCACUGAAAUUAGAUACCUUACCAAAGGAGAAGGUUCACAUUAACAUCGUCGUCAUUGGAGCAGCUGAGCUUUCAGAAGAGAAAGCUCUUUAAGACUAUGGAUGAGGUGUUGGAACAGAAGGAGGAUGAUCUUAAAAGUCAUGGUCCGAAGCAGGAGAAGCUUCACUUUGAGAUGUACUGUUAUGUUGGGGUAUAUAGAGCUUACUUAUUCGCUGAACAAGAAAGAGUUCAAUUUCAUUAAGGGAUUUGAGCACAACUAUCAAAUAGAUGAGAGCCUGAACCAAUUGGGAAGAAGUUGCAUGUGAGAAGAUGAAUCUCUACUAUGUUACAUAUUACAACAAAUGAAUUCAAGGCAUAGAUAGAGUUAUCUUUGAUUAGAGAAGAAGCCUUUUAGCUUAUUGACUUUGUGAAUGUUAUAAGAAACGAGGUGAAGCAGAAUACUAUAGAGACAACUUAGAAGGAGGAUAAAGCUAAUUAAACUGUUCAAGGGAGAAAAAUCUAAAGAAAUUGUGUCAGUUGCAAGCGCAAAAGGCCAGAAUAUGGGAUAGACAUCAAGACAUAAAUAGGGGUAUUGAAGUUAUAUAUGUUGCACCAAACAUAAGAUGAUGUCAAGAAGAGUUAGUGAUUGGGAGCUGGACGAUUGGCAAAAUUUGAGUUUGUUAGUUGCAUUAUUUGAAUUAUUAGAAGAAAAUUUCACUCUUAACAUGGUUUCAGUGAUUUAUGCAAUUCUGAAAAAAAAAAUUGAUGUAAUUAAUUUAAUAAUUUGAUUAUUUUAUUGUUGUUUAUAA